GCGCCCGUAGCUCAGCUGGAUAGAGCGACGGACUUCGAAUCCGUAGGUCGCAGGUUCGACUCCUGUCGGACGCA
rfam:Treponema sp. GWC1_61_84 gwc1_scaffold_65, whole genome shotgun sequence.